ensembl:lncRNA
CUCUUCGAGAAUCCCCCAUUUAAGCGAAAAUCACGCGUUUUCUCUUCGCAAAUCCCCAUUUAAGCGAAAAUCACGCGUUUUCUCUUCGCAGAAUCCCCCAUUUAAGCGAAAAUCACGCGUUUUCUCUUCGCAAAUCCCCCAUUUAAGCGAAAAUCACGCGUUUUCUCUUCGCAGAAUCCCCCAUUUAAGCGAAAAUCCCGCGUUUUCUCUUCGCAAAUCCCCCAUUUAAGCGAAAAUCACGCGUUUUCUCUUCGCAAAUCCCCCAGUUAACCCGAAAAUCACGCGUUUUCUCUUCGCAAAUCCCCCAUUUAAGCAAAAAUCACGCGUUUUCUCUUCGCAAAUCCCCCAUUUAACCCGAAAAUCACGCGUUUUCUCUUCACAAAUCCCCCAUUUAAGCGAAAAUCACGCGUUUUCUCUUCGCAAAUCCCCCAUUUAAGCAAAAAUCACGCGUUUUCUCCUUCGAGAAUCCCCCAUUUAACUUAAAAGUCACGCAUUUUCUCUUCACAAAUCCCCCAUUUAAGCAAAAAUCAUGCGUUUUCUCUUCGAGAAUCCCCCAUUUAACCCGAAAAUCACGCGUUUUCUCUUCGCAAAUCCCCCAUUUAACCCAAAAAUCACGCGUUUUCUCUUCGCAAAUCCCCCAUUUAAGCAAAAAUCACGCGUUUUCUCUUCGCAAAUCCCCCAUUUAAGCGAAAAUCACGCGUUUUCUCUUCGCAAAUCCCCCAUUUAACCCGAAAAUCACACGUUUUCUCUUCGCAAAUCCCCCAUUUAAGCGAAAAUCACGCGUUUUCUCUUCGCAUAAUCCUUCCAUUUAAGCGAAAAUCACGCGUUUUCUCUUCGAGAAUCCCCCAUUUAAGGGAAAAUCACGCAUUUUCUCUUCGCACAUCCCCCAUUUAACUGAAAAUCACGCGUUUUCUCUUCGCACAUCCCCCAUUUAACUGAAAAUCACGCGUUUUCUCUUCGCAAAUCCCCCAUUUAAGUGAAAAUCACGCAUUUUUCUCUUCGCAAAUCCCCCAUUUAAGCGAAAAUCCCGCGUUUUCUCUUCGCAAAUCCCCCAUUUAAGCGAAAAUCACGCGUUUUCUCUUCGCAAAUCCCCCAGUUAACCCGAAAAUCACGCGUUUUCUCUUCGCAAAUCCCCCAUUUAAGCAAAAAUCACGCGUUUUCUCUUCGCAAAUCCCCCAUUUAACCCGAAAAUCACGCGUUUUCUCUUCACAAAUCCCCCAUUUAAGCCGAAAAUCACGCGUUUUCUCUUCGCAAAUCCCCCAUUUAACCAAAAAUCACAUAGUUUUCUCUUCGCAAAUCCCCCAUUUAACCCGAAAAUCACGCGUUUUCUCUUCGCAAAUCCCCCAUUUAAGUGAAAAUCACGCGUUUUCUCUUCGCAAAUCCCCCAUUUAAGCAAAAAUCACGUGUUUUCUCUUCGCAAAUCCCCCAUUUAACCAAAAAUCACGCGUUUUCUCUUCGCAAAUCCCCCAUUUAACCCGAAAAUCACGCGUUUUCUCUUUGAGAAUCCCCCAUUUAACCCGAAAAUCAGGUAUUUUCUCUUCGCAAAUCCCCCAUUUAAGCGAAAAUCACGCGUUUUCUCUUCGCAAAUCCCCCAUUUAACCCGAAAAUCACGCGUUUCCUCUUUAGAAUCCCCACUUUAACUUAAAAUCACGCAUUUUCUCUUCGCAAAUCCCCCAUUUAACCAAAAAUCACGCGUUUUCUCUUCGCAAAUCCCCCAUUUAAGCGAAAAUCACGCGUUUUCUCUUUGCAAAUCCCCCAUUUAACCCGAAAAUCACGUGUUUUCUCUUCAGCAAAUCCCCCGAUUUAACCGAAAAUCACGCGUUUUCUCUUCGCAAAUCUCCCAUUUAAGCAAAAAUCACGCGUUUUCUCUUCGCAAAUCCCCCAUUUAACCGAAAAUCACGCGUUUUCUCUUUGCAAAUCCCCCAUUUAAGCUGAAAAUCACGCGUUUUCUCUUUGCAAAUCCCCCAUUUAAGCCGAAAAUCACGCGUUUUCUCUUCGCAAAUCCCCCAUUUAACCGGAAAAUCACGCGUUUUCUCUUCGCAAAUCCCCCAUUUAAGCGAAAAUCACGCGUUUUCUCUUCGAGAAUCCCCCAUUUAAGCGAAAAUCACGCGUUUUCUCUUCGCAAAUCCCCCAUUUAAGCAAAAAUCACGCGUUUUCUUCUUUGCAGAAUCCCCCAUUUAAGCCGAAAAUCACGCGUUUUCUCUUCGCAAAUCCCCCAUUUAACCGAAAAUCACGCGUUUUCUCUUCAGCAAAUCCCCCAUUUAACCGAAAAUCACGCGUUUUCUCUUUGCAAAUCCCCCAUUUAAGCGAAAAUCACGCGUUUUCUCUUCGCAAAUCCCCCAUUUAACCGAAAAUCACGCGUUUUUCUCUUCGCAAAUCCCCCAUUUAAGCGAAAAUCACGCGUUUUCUCUUCGAGAAUCCCCCAUUUUAACCCGAAAAUCACGCGUUUUCUCUUCGAGAAUCCCCCAUUUAAGCGAAAAUCACGCGUUUUCUCUUCGCAAAUCCCCCAUUUAAGCGAAAAUCACGCGUUUUCUCUUCGCAAAUCCCCCAUUUAAGCGAAAAUCACGCGUUUUCUCUUCGAGAAUCCCCCAUUUAAGCGAAAAUCACGCGUUUUCUCUUCGCAAAUCCCCCAUUUAAGCGAAAAUCACGCGUUUUCUCUUCGAGAAUCCCCCAUUUAAGCCGAAAAUCACGCGUUUUCUCUUCGCAAAUCCCCCAUUUAAGCGAAAAUCACGCGUUUUCUCUUCGAGAAUCCCCCAUUUAAGCCGAAAAUCACGCGUUUUCUCUUCGCAAAUCCCCCAUUUAAGCGAAAAUCACGCGUUUUCUCUUCGAGAAUCCCCCAUUUAAGCGAAAAUCACGCGUUUUCUCUUCGCAAUCCCCCAUUUAAGCAAAAAUCACGCGUUUUCUCUUCGCAAAUCCCCCAUUUAAGCGAAAAUCACGCGUUUUCUCUUCGCAAAUCCCCCAUUUAACCCGAAAAUCACGCUGUUUUCUCUUCGCAAAUCCCCGAUUUAAGCGAAAAUCACGCGUUUUCUCUUCGAGAAUCCCCCAUUUAAGCCGAAAAUCACGCGUUUUCUCUUCGCAAAUCCCCCAUUUAAGCGAAAAUCACGCGUUUUCUCUUCGAGAAUCCCCCAUUUAAGCCGAAAAUCACGCGUUUUCCUCUUUGAGAAUCCCCCAUUUAAGCGAAAAUCACGCGUUUUCUCUUCGCAAAUCCCCCAUUUAACCCGAAAAUCACGCGUUUUCUCUUUGCAAAUCCCCCAUUUAACCCAAAAAUCACGCGUUUUCUCUUCGAGAAUCCCCCAUUUAAGCGAAAAUCACGCGUUUUCUCUUCGCAAAUCCCCCAUUUAAGCGAAAAUCACGCGUUUUCUCUUUGAGAAUCCCCCAUUUAACCCGAAAAUCACGCGUUUUCUCUUUGCAAAUCCCCCAUUUAACCCAAAAAUCACGCAUUUUCUCUUCGCAAAUCCCCCAUUUAACCCGAAAAUCACGCGUUUUCUCUUCGCAAAUCCCCCAUUUAAGCGAAAAUCACGCGUUUUCUCUUCGCAAAUCCCCCAUUUAACCGGAAAAUCACGCGUUUUCUCUUUGCAAAUCCCCCAUUUAACCCGAAAAUCACGCGUUUUCUCUUCGCAAAUCCCCCAUUUAACCCGAAAAUCACGCGUUUUCUCUUCGCAAAUCCCCAUUUAACCCGAAAAUCACGCGUUUUCUCUUCGCAAAUCCCCCAUUUAACCCGAAAACCACGCGUUUUCUCUUCGCAAAUCCCCCAUUUAACCGGAAAACCACGCGUUUUCUCUUCGCAAAUCCCCCAUUUAACCGAAAAUCACGCGUUUUCUCUUCGCAAAUCCCCCAUUUAACCGAAAAUCACGCGUUUUCUCUUCGCAAAUCCCCCAUUUAACCCGAAAAUCACGCGUUUUCUCUUCGCAAAUCCCCGAUUUAACCCGAAAAUCACGCGUUUUCUCUUCGCAAAUCCCCCAUUUAAGCAAAAACCACGCGUUUUCUCUUCGCAAAUCCCCCAUUUAACCCGAAAAUCACGCGUUUUCUCUUCGCAAAUCCCCCAUUUAACCCGAAAAUCACGCGUUUUCUCUUCGCAAAUCCCCCAUUUAAGCAAAAAUCACGCGUUUUCUCUUCGAGAAUCCCCCAUUUAACCCGAAAAUAACGCGUUUUCUCUUCGCAAAUCCCCAUUUUAACCAAAAAUCACGCAUUUUCUCCUCGAGAAUCCCCAUUUAAGCGAAAAUCACACGUUUUCUCUUCGCAAAUCCCCCAUUUAAGCGAAAAUCACGCUUUUUCUCUUCGCUAAUACCCCAUUUAACUAAAAAUCACGUGUUUUCUCUUCGAGAAUCCCCCAUUUAACCCGAAAAUCACGCGUUUUCUCUUCAGAAAUCCCCCAUUUAACCCGAAAACCACGCGUUUUCUCUUCGCAAAUCCCCCAUUUAAGCAAAAAUCACGCGUUUUCUCUUCGCGAAUCCCGCAUUUAAGCGAAAACCACGCGUUUUCUCAUCGCAAAUCCCCCAUUUAAGCGAAAAUCAUGCAUUUUCUCCACGAGAAUCCCCCAUUUAAGCGAAAAUCACACGUUUUCUCUUCGCACAUCCCCAUUUAAGCGAAAAUCUCGCGUUUUCUCUUCGCACAUCCCCCAUUUAAGCGAAAAUCUCGCGUUUUCUCUUCGCAAAUCCCCCAUUUAACCCGAAAAUAAUGCGUUUUCUCUUCGCAAAUCCCCCAUUUAACCCGAAAAUCACGCGCUUUCUCUUCGCAAAUCCCCCAUUUAAACGAAAAUCACGCGUUUUCUCUUUGAAAAUCCCCCAUUUAACCCGAAAAUCACGCGUUUUCUCUUCGCAAAUCCCCCAUUUAAGCAAAAAUCACGCGUUUUCUCUUCGAGAAUCCCCCAUUUAACCAAAAAUCACGCGUUUUCUCUUCGAGAAUCCCCCAUUUUAACCCAAAAAUCACGCGUUUUCUCUUCGCAAAUCCCCCAUUUAACCGGAAAAUCACGCGUUUUCUCUUUGCAAAUCCCCCAUUUAUCCCGAAAAUCACGCGUUUUCUCUUCGCAAAUCCCCCAUUUGAGCAAAAAUCAAGCGUUUUCUCUUUGCAAAUCCCCCAUUUAACCAAAAAUCACGUGUUUUCUCUUCGAGAAUCCCCCAUUUAAGCCGAAAAUCACGCGUUUUCUCUUCGCAAAUCCCCCAUUUAAGCGAAAAUCACGCGUUUUCUCUUCGCAAAUCCCCCAUUUAAGCGAAAAUCACGCGUUUUCUCUUCGAGAAUCCCCCAUUUAAGCCGAAAAUCACGCGUUUUCUCUUCGCAAAUCCCCCAUUUAAGCAAAAAUCACGCGUUUUCUCUUCGAGAAUCCCCCAUUUAAGCGAAAAUCACGCGUUUUCUCUUCGCAAAUCCCCCAUUUAAGCGAAAAUCACGCGUUUUCUCUUCGAGAAUCCCCCAUUUAACCGAAAAUCACGCGUUUUCUCUUCGAGAAUCCCCCAUUUAAGCCGAAAAUCACGCGUUUUCUCUUCGAGAAUCCCCCAUUUAAGCCGAAAAUCACGCGUUUUCUCUUCGCAAAUCCCCCAUUUAAGCGAAAAUCACGCGUUUUCUCUUCGCAAAUCCCCCAUUUAACCGAAAAUCACGCGUUUUCUCUUUGCAAAUCCCCCAUUUAACCCGAAAAUCACGCGUUUUCUCUUCGCAAAUCCCCCAUUUAACCCAAAAAUCACGCGUUUUCUCUUCGCAAAUCCCCCAUUUAAGCAAAAAUCACGCGUUUUCUCUUCGCAAAUCCCCCAUUUAACCCGAAAAUCACGCGUUUUCUCUUCGCAAAUCCCCCAUUUAAGCAAAAAUCACGUGUUUUCUCUUCGCAAAUCCCCCAUUUAACCCGAAAAUCACGCGUUUUCUCUUUGAGAAUCCCCCAUUUAAGCGAAAAUCACGCGUUUUCUCUUCGCAAAUCCCCCAUUUAAGCAAAAAUCACGCGUUUUCUCUUCGCAAAUCCCCCAUUUAACCCGAAAAUCACGCGUUUUCUCUUUGAAAAUCCCCCAUUUUAACCCGAAAAUCACGCGUUUUCUCUUCGCAAAUCCCCCAUUUAAGCGAAAAUCACGCGUUUUCUCUUCGCAAAUUCCCCAUUUAAGCGAAAAUCACACGUUUUCUCUUUGCAAAUCCCCCAUUUAAGCGAAAAUCACGCGUUUUCUCUUCGGAGAAUCCCCCAUUUAAGCGAAAAUCACGCGUUUUCUCGUUGCAAAUCCCCCAUUUAAGCAAAAAUCCACGCGUUUUCUCUUCGCAAAUCCCCCAUUUAACCCGAAAAUCACGUGUUUUCUCUUCGCAAAUCCCCCAUUUAUGCAAAAAUCACGCGUUUUCUCUUCGCAAAUCCCCCAUUUAACCCGAAAAUCACGCGUUUUCUCUUCGCAAAUCCCCAUUUUAACCAAAAAUCACGCAUUUUCUCCUCGAGAAUCCCCCAUUUAAGCGAAAAUCACACGUUUUCUCUUCGCAAAUCCCCCAUUUAAGCGAAAAUCACGCGUUUUCUCUUCGCAAAUCCCCCAUUUAACUAAAAAUCACGCGUUUUCUCUUCGCAAAUCCCCCAUUUAAGCGAAAAUCACGCGUUUUCUCUUCGCUAAUACCCCAUUUAACUAAAAAUCACGUGUUUUCUCUUCGAGAAUCCCCCAUUUAACCCGAAAAUCACGCGUUUUCUCUUCAGAAAUCCCCCAUUUAACCCGAAAAUCCACGCGUUUUCUCUUCGCAAAUCCCCCAUUUAAGCAAAAAUCACGCGUUUUCUCUUCGAGAAUCCCGCAUUUAAGCGAAAACCACGCGUUUUCUCAUCGCAAAUCCCCCAUUUAACCCGAAAAUCAUGCAUUUUCUCUCACGAGAAUCCCCCAUUUAAGCGAAAAUCACACGUUUUCUCUUCGCACAUCCCCCAUUUAAGCGAAAAUCUCGCGUUUUCUCUUCGCACAUCCCCCAUUUAAGCGAAAAUCUCGCGUUUUCUCUUCGCAAAUCCCCCAUUUAACCGAAAAUAAUGCGUUUUCUCUUCGCAAAUCCCCCAUUUAACCCGAAAAUCACGCGCUUUCUCUUCGCAAAUCCCCCAUUUAACGAAAAUCACGCGUUUUCUCUUUGCAAAUCCCCCAUUUAACCCGAAAAUCACGCGUUUUCUCUUCGCAAAUCCCCCAUUUAAGCAAAAAUCACGCGUUUUCUCUUCGAGAAUCCCCCAUUUAACCAAAAAUCACGCAUUUUCUCUUCGAGAAUCCCCCAUUUAACCGAAAAUCACGCGUUUUCUCUUUGCAAAUUCCCCAUUUAAGCAAAAAUCACGUGUUUUCUCUUCGAGAAUCCCCCAUUUAAGCGAAAAUCACGCGUUUUCUCUUCGUAAAUCCCCCAUUUAACUUGAAAAUCAAGCGUUUUCUCUUUGCAAAUCCCCCAUUUAACCCGAAAAUCACGCGUUUUCUCUUCGCAAAUCCCCCAUUUAAGCGAAAAUCACGCGUUUUCUCUUCACAAAUCCCCCAUUUAAGCAAAAAUCACGCGUUUUCUCUUCGCAAAUCCCCCAUUUAAGCAAAAAUCACGCGUUUUCUCUUCGAGAAUCCCCCAUUUAAGUGAAAAUCAAGCGUUUUCUCUUCGCAAAUCCCCCAUUUAACCCGAAAAUCACGCGUUUUCUCUUCGAGAAUCCCCCAUUGAACCCGAAAAACACGCGUUUUCUCUUCGCAAAUCCCCCAUUUAAGCAAAAAUCACGCAUUUUCUCUUCGCAAAUCCCCCAUUUAACCGAAAAUCACGCGUUUUCUCUUCGCAAAUCCCCCAUUUAAGCGAAAAUCAUGCGUUUUCUCUUCGCAAAUCCCCCAUUUAAGCCGAAAAUAACGCGUUUUCUCUUCGAGAAUCCCCCAUUUAACCCAAAAAUCAUGCGUUUUCUCUUCGAGAAUCCCCCAUUUAAGCGAAAAUCACGCGUUUUCUCUUCGCAAAUCCCCCAUUUAACCCGAAAAUCACGCGUUUCCUCUUUAGAAUCCCCACUUUAACUUAAAAAUCACGCAUUUUCUCUUCGCAAAUCCCCCAUUUAAGCAAAAAUCACGCGUUUUCUCUUCGAGAAUUUUCCAUUUAAGGGAAAAUCACGCAUUUUCUCUUUGCAAAUCUCCCAUUUAAGCGAAAAUCACGCGUUUUCUCUUCGCAAAUCCCCCAUUUAACCCGAAAAUCACGCGUUUUCUCUUCGCAAAUCCCCCAUUUAAGCGAAAAAUCACGCGUUUUCUCUUCGCAAAUCCCCCAUUUAAGCGAAAAUCACGCGUUUUCUCUUCGCAAAUCCCCCAUUUAAGAGAACAUCACGCGUUUUCUCUUCGCAAAUCCCCCAUUUAACCCGAAAAUCACGCGUUUUCUCUUCGCAAAUCCCCCAUUUAACCCGAAAAUCAAGCGUUUUCUCUUUGCAAAUCCCCCAUUUAACCCGAAAAUCACGCGUUUUCUCUUCGCAAAUCCCCCAUUUAAGCAAAAAUCACGCGUUUUCUCGUCGCAAAUCCCCCAUUUAAGCAAAAAUCACGCGUUUUCUCUUCGCAAAUCCCCCAUGUUACCCAAAAAUCACGCGUUUUCUCUUCGAGAAUCCCCCAUUUAAGUGAAAAUCACGCGUUUUCUCUUCGCAAAUCCCCCAUUUAACCCGAAAAUCACGCGUUUUCUCUUCGAGAAUCCCCCAUUGAACCCGAAAAACACAAGUUUUCUCUUCGCAAAUCCCCCAUUUAAGCAAAAAUCACGUGUUUUCUCUUCGCAAAUCCCCCAUUUAACCGAAAAUCACGCGUUUUCUCUUCGCAAAUCCCCCAUUUAAGCGAAAAUCACGCGUUUUCUCUUCGCAAAUCCCCCAUUUAAGCGAAAAUCACGCGUUUUCUCUUCACAAAUCCCCCAUUUAAGCAAAAAUCACGCGUUUUCUCUUCGCAAAUCCCCCAUUUAACCUGAAAAUCACGCGUUUUCUCUUCGAGAAUCCCUCAUUUAAGCGAAAAUCACGCGUUUUCUCUUCGCAAAUCCCCCAUUUAACCGAAAAUCACGCGUUUUCUCUUCGAGAAUCCCCCAUUGAACCCGAAAAACACGCGUUUUCUCUUCGCAAAUCCCCCAUUUAAGCAAAAAUCACGCGUUUUCUCUUCGCAAAUCCCCCAUUUAACCGAAAAUCACGCGUUUUCUCUUCCCAAAUCCCCCAUUUAAGCGAAAAUCAUGCGUUUUCUCUUCGCAAAUCCCCCAUUUAAGCCGAAAAUCACGCGUUUUCUCUUCGCAAAUCCCCCAUUUAACCCAAAAAUCAUGCGUUUUCUCUUCGAGAAUCCCCCAUUUAAGCGAAAAUCACGCGUUUUCUCUUCGCAAAUCCCCCAUUUAACCCGAAAAUCACGCGUUUCCUCUUUAGAAUCCCCACUUUAACUUAAAAAUCACGCAUUUUCUCUUCGCAAAUCCCCCAUUUAAGCGAACAUCACGCGUUUUCUCUUCGCAAAUCCCCCAUUUAAGCAAAAAUCACGUGUUUUCUCUUCGCAAAUCCCCCAUUUAACCGAAAAUCACGCGUUUUCUCUUCGCAAAUCCCCCAUUUAAGCGAAAAUCACGCGUUUUCUCUUCGCAAAUCCCCCAUUUAAGCGAAAAUCACGCGUUUUCUCUUCACAAAUCCCCCAUUUAAGCAAAAAUCACGCGUUUUCUCUUCGCAAAUCCCCCAUUUAACCCGAAAAUCACGCGUUUUCUCUUCGAGAAUCCCUCAUUUAACCGAAAAUAACGCGUUUUCUCUUCGAGAAUCCCCCAUUUAACCCAAAAAUCAUGCGUUUUCUCUUCGAGAAUCCCCCAUUUAAGCGAAAAUCACGCGUUUUCUCUUCGCAAAUCCCCCAUUUAACCCGAAAAUCACGCGUUUCCUCUUUAGAAUCCCCACUUUAACUUAAAAAUCACGCAUUUUCUCUUCGCAAAUCCCCCAUUUAAGCAAAAAUCACGCGUUUUCUCUUCGAGAAUUUUCCAUUUAAGGGAAAAUCACGCAUUUUCUCUUUGCAAAUCUCCCAUUUAAGCGAAAAUCACGCGUUUUCUCUUCGCAAAUCCCCCAUUUAACCCGAAAAUCACGCGUUUUCUCUUCGCAAAUCCCCCAUUUAAGCGAAAAAUCACGCGUUUUCUCUUCGCAAAUCCCCCAUUUAACCGAAAAUCACGCGUUUUCUCUUCCCAAAUCCCCCAUUUAAGCGAACAUCACGCGUUUUCUCUUCGCAAAUCCUCCAUUUAACCCGAAAAUCACGCGUUUUCUCUUCGCAAAUCCCCCUUUUAACCCGAAAAUCAAGCGUUUUCUCUUUGCAAAUCCCCCAUUUAACCCGAAAAUCACGCAUUUUCUCUUCGCAAAUCCCCCAUUUAAGCAAAAAUCACGCGUUUUCUUGUCGCAAAUCCCCCAUUUAAGCAAAAAUCACGCGUUUUCUCUUCGCAAAUCCCCCAUGUUACCCGAAAAUCACGCGUUUUCUCUUCACAAAUCCCCCAUUUAAUUGAAAAUCACGCGUUUUCUCUUCGCAAAUCCCCCAUUUAACCCGAAAAUCACGCGUUUUCUCUUCGAGAAUCCCCCAUUGAACCCGAAAAACACACGUUUUCUCUUCGCAAAUCCCCCAUUUAAGCAAAAAUCACGCGUUUUCUCUUCGCAAAUCCCCCAUUUAACCGAAAAUCACGCGCUUUCUCUUCGCAAAUCCCCCAUUUAAGCGAAAAUCAUGCGUUUUCUCUUUGCAAAUCCCCCAUUUAAGCCGAAAAUAACGCGUUUUCUCUUCGAGAAUCCCCCAUUUAACCCAAAAAUCAUGCGUUUUCUCUUCGAGAAUCCCCCAUUUAAGCGAAAAUCACGCGUUUUCUCUUCGCAAAUCCCCCAUUUAACCCGAAAAUCACGCGUUUCCUCUUUAGAAUCCCCACUUUAACUUAAAAAUCACGCAUUUUCUCUUCGCAAAUCCCCCAUUUAACCCGAAAAUCACGCGUUUUCUCUUCGCAAAUCCCCCAUUUAACCCGAAAAUCACGCAUUUUCUCUUCGAGAAUUUUCCAUUUAAGGGAAAAUCACGCAUUUUCUCUUUGCAAAUCCCCCAUUUAAGCGAAAAAUCACACGUUUUCUCUUCGCAAAUCCCCCAUUUAAGCGAAAAUCACGCGUUUUCUCUUCGCAAAUCCCCCAUUUAAGCGAAAAUCACGCGUAUUCUCUUCGCAAAUCCCCCAUUUUAGCGAAAAUCACUCGUUUUCUCUUCAAGAAUCCCCCAUUUAAGCGAACAUCACGCGUUUUCUCUUCGCAAAUCCCCCAUUUAACCCGAAAAUCACGCGUUUUCUCUUCGCAAAUCCCCCAUUUAACCCGAAAAUCAAGCGUUUUCUCUUCGCAAAUCCCCCAUUUAACCCGAAAAUCACGCGUUUUCUCUUCGCAAAUCCCCCAUUUAAGCAAAAAUCACGCGUUUUCUCGUCGCAAAUCACCCAUUUAAGCAAAAAUCACGCGUUUUCUCUUCGCAAAUCCCCCAUGUUACCCGAAAAUCACGCGUUUUCUCUUCGAGAAUCCCCCAUUUAAGUGAAAAUCACGCGUUUUCUCUUCGCAAAUCCCCCAUUUAACCCGAAAAUCACGCGUUUUCUCUUCGAGAAUCCCCCAUUGAACCCGAAAAACACACGUUUUCUCUUCGCAAAUCCCCCAUUUAAGCAAAAAUCACGCGUUUUCUCUUCGCAAAUCCCCCAUUUAACCGAAAAUCACGCGUUUUCUCUUCGCAAAUCCCCCAUUUAAGCGAAAAUCAUGCGUUUUCUCUUCGCAAAUCCUCAAUUUAAGCCGAAAAUAACGCGUUUUCUCUUCGAGAAUCCCCCAUUUAACCCAAAAAUCAUGCGUUUUCUCUUCGAGAAUCCCCCAUUUAAGCGAAAAUCACGCGUUUUCUCUUCGCAAAUCCCCCAUUUAACCCGAAAAUCACGCGUUUCCUCUUUAGAAUUCCCACUUUAACUUAAAAAUCACGCAUUUUCUCUUCGCAAAUCCCCCAUUUAACCAAAAAUCACGCGUUUUCUCUUCGCAAAUCCCCCAUUUAAGCAAAAAUCACGCGUUUUCUCUUCGAGAAUUUUCCAUUUAAGGGAAAAUCACGCAUUUUCUCUUUGCAAAUCCCCCAUUUAAGCGAACAUCACGCGUUUUCUCUUCGCAAAUCCCCCAUUUAACCCGAAAAUCACGCGUUUUCUCUUCGCAAAUCCCCCAUUUAACCCGAAAACCACGCGUUUUCUCUUCGCAAAUCCCCCAUUUAUGCAAAAAUCACGCGUUUUCUCUUCGAGAAUCCCCCAUUUAACCAAAAAUCACGCGUUUUCUCUUUGCAAAUCCCCCAUUUAAGCAAAAAUCACGCGUUUUCUCGUUGCAAAUCCUAGAUUUAACCCGAAAAUCACGCGUUUUCUCUUUGAGAAUCCCCCAUUUAAGCGAAAAUCACGCGUUUUCUCUUCGCAAAUCCCCCAUUUAAGCGAAAAUCACGCGUUUUCUCUUUGCAAAUCCCCCAUUUAACCCAAAAAUCACGCGUUUUCUCUUCGAGAAUCCCCCAUUUAACCUGAAAAUCACACGUUUUCUCUUCGAGAAUCCCCCAUUUAACCCGAAAAUCACGCGUUUUCUCUUCGCAAAUCCCCCAUUUAAGCAAAAAUCACGCAUUUUCUCUUCGCAAAUCCCCGAUUUAACCCAAAAAUCACGCGUUUUCUCUUCGCACAUCCCCCAUUUAAUCGAAAAUCACGCGUUUUCUCUUCGCAAAUCCCCCAUUUAAGCAAAAAUCACGCAUUUUCUAUUCGAGAAUCCUCCAUUUAAGUGAAAAUCAUGUGUUUUCUCUUCGAGAGUCCCCAUUUAAGCAAAAAUCACGCAUUUUCUCUUCGAGAAUCCUCCAUUUAAGCGAAAAUCACGCGUUUUCUCUUCGAGAGUCCCCAUUUAAGCAAAAAUCACGCAUUUUCUCUUCGAGAAUCCCCCAUUUAAGCGAAAAUCACACAUUUUCUCUUCGAGAAUCCUCCAUUUAACCCGAAAUUCAUGCAUUUUCUCUUUGGAAAUCUUCCUUUUAACCUGAAAAUCACGCCUUUUCUCUUCAAGAAUCCCCCAUUUAUGCAAAAAUCACGCGUUUUCUCUUCGGGAUUCCCCCAUUUAUCCCGAAAAUCACGUGUUUUCUCUUCGUAAAUUCCCCAUUUAUCUUGAAAAUCACGCUUUUUCUCUUCCAGAAUCCCCCCUUUAACCGAAAAUGACGCAUUUUCUCUUCGUAAAUCCCCCAUUUAACUCAAAAAUCACGUGUUUUCUCUUCGCAAAUCCCCCAUUUAUCCCAAAAAUCACGCGUUUUCUCUUCGAGAAUCCCCCAUUUUACUCUAAAAUCACGCGUUUUCUCUUCGCAAAUCCCCCAUUUGAGCGAAAAUCACGCGUUUUCUUAUUGAAAAUCCCCCAUUUUACCUGAAAAUCACAUUUUUUCUCUUCUAGAAUCCCCUUUUUAACCCGAAAAUCACGCGUUUUCUCUUCAAAAGUCUACCAUUUCACCUGGAAAUCAACCAUUUUCUC